GACGUAGGUGGCGAGCGUUAUCCGGAUUUACUGGGCGUAAAGCGCGUGCAGGUGGUUUGAUAAGUCGGGCGUGAAAUCUCCUGGCUCAACUGGGAGAGGCCGUCCGAUACUAUCAGACUUGAGGGCAGUAGAGGGAGGUGGAAUUCCGGGUGUAGUGGUGAAAUGCGUAGAUAUCCGGAGGAACACCGGUGGCGAAGGCGGCCUCCCUGGACUGCCCCUGACACUCAGACGCGAAAAGCUAGGGGAGCGAACGGG
rnacentral:rRNA from 1 species